AUAUAUGAUAACUGAAAUGUUUUCAUGUAUAGAAGACUCAGAGAAAUGCAAUGGGGAACACUUGGACGAAAAACAAGCUCGUGUCUCAACAAAAGAAUUCUUAGUCUACAUUAUAAAUAUAUGAACAAUAACAUUGAGAGGCAAACUCUACAUCCUCUCAUAUCUUAACAACGGAAAUUAAAUUUCUCUACAAAAUUCACAGAUAACCAAGAAAACAGAAUUGGCCUCUGAAAUUGGGAGAAACCCCACUCCAAAAAACACCUACUUAAACGUCCUUUUUAGCCAGCUCACAUACUUUCAGUGGUUCAUAUGGAUGAUAACACGAAUCCGUAUGCAUCAAAUGCACAGCCUCUUGUACAAUAUACCAUAUUGCACAUCAUCAUACAAACCAUGACUGUGAGCUCAGUAAUUCAGCAACGAAUAUUUCAAUCUCAAAACAAUUUUACCUUUCUCCACACUGAGCUUUCCUCCGGUAACCAACCAAUGGCCUGGAGGAUCUUGUGGCCCCUUGCUCAUCUCAGACAUAUCAACAAAUUUUGCCAACUUCUUGCCCAGAGUGUUUUCUGUUGAACCUGAACUUGAGUCACCAGCGUUGGUAUUUUUUACAGAAGGGACUUUCUUUGACUUGUCAUCUGGGGCAUGAUCCCAAAGAGAUCUUCGUAUUGUGCAGCCAGGUAGUCUGGAAUACAGGAAUUUCAUGUACAGAACGUUUCUUGACCCAAAAUCCCACACUCCAAGUUGAGCUCCUGUGACUACAUAGACUCCAGAGAAAUCACCUAUAAAGCUUUCAGGAUUCUCAACUGGUGCAGUGCUUACAUGAGAGAAAUUCUUCCAUUUCACUGGCUCAAACCAUCGGCUAUCCUGCUCCUCAGGUCCCUGCCACUUGGGAGCACCAAUUGAAACAUGGGUGUCCCAAUAUGGAAGAAGGAUUUUAGGAAGGGAUGCUAAGUGUUGAAUAUGAAUGCUUAGCCGAUUCUGCUUGGCUCCUUCAAGAGAUAAUCGCAUGCCUGUCACAGGUUUUUUUCCCACUGAUACCUGCUCCUGGCUUACAUAAAGCUUUGGCCCCAUCAUGCUGAAUUGCAAAGAUGGGCAAACAGGUUCCUUUCUUUGGUGGCCAGGAAUAUUUUCCUGCACAGGAGCCCAUAUUUGUGGAAUCUGAAACUCCAGAAAAUAUCUCAG
rnacentral:misc_RNA from 1 species